UACGUAGGGAGCAAGCGUUGUCCGGAAUCAUUGGGCGUAAAGCGCGCGUAGGCGGCCCUGUAAGUCCGUUGUGAAAGUCAAAGGCUCAACCUUUGAAAGCCGAUGGAUACUGCAGGGCUAGAGUCCGGAAGAGGCGAGUGGAAUUCCUGGUGUAGCGGUGGAAUGCGCAGAUAUCAGGAGGAACACCAGUGGCGAAGGCGGUCAUCUGGUUCGCAACUGACGCUGAGGCACGAAAGCGUGGGGAUCAAACAGG
rnacentral:rRNA from 1 species